AGCGAACGCUGGCGGCGUACUUAACACAUGCAAGUCGAACGGGGAUCUUCGGUGUAGCAAUACAUCGGCGGUCCUAGUGGCGCACGGGUGAGUAACACGUGGGUAACCUGCCCUUGAGUUCGGGAUACCCUUUCGAAAGGAAGGCUAAUACCGGAUACGUUCCUCGGAUUGCGAAAUCUGGGGAGGAAAGGUGGCGAAAGCUGCCGCUCUUGGAGGGGCUCGCGGCCUAUCAACUAGUUGGUGAGGUAACGGCUCACCAAGGCUAUGACGGGUAGCUGGUCUGAGAGGACGACCAGCCACACGGGAACUGAGACACGGUCCCGACUCCUACGGGAGGCAGCAGUGGGGAAUUUUCCGCAAUGGGCGAAAGCCUGACGGAGUGACGCCGCGUGGGGGACGAAGGCCUUCGGGUCGUAAACCCCUGUCAGAGGGAAAGAAGGGUGUCGGCGCGAUAACCGCCGGCAUUUGACGGUACCUUCAGAGGAAGCCCCGGCCAACUCUGUGC
rnacentral:rRNA from 1 species